ACCUGAAGGCGAGCAGGCAGAUCAUCCUGGGAGGACAGAAAGCCAAAAGACAGCUGGUUUCCAAAGGUCUGGCCUCCCCUGAGUGUGACACAGACAGUUGCAAAAUCCUGAUUUCCAGCACUUGCUGGAUGCUGAGCCAGUUGGUGUGACUGGGCAGGUGUGGGUCUGGGUCCUGUCUUUGGGAAUGCUAAUUGCUCAGGUUUGAUGUCCCUCUGGGUUUGUCCCCUUCCUUUUUCUUACCUUCCCAACUGCAAACACGAGUGGUUUUCCCAUUCCACAGAUGUGUACCAGUCAGUGAGACUGACCAGGCUGGUUCCUGUCACUUCCUGUCUCAGCAGUCAGCUGUCUUCCCCCACACUUGUCAUGUGGGCACAGGGAUACCACACUUGCAAGGGCUUCUCCAAAGGUUUUUGUGCCGGGAGUGCUCCAGGCUUUCAGAAGCAGAGCAGCCCUGGGAGAGCAGCUGAGUGAUGACGGGAAUGAGCUGCAGAGGAAGAAGAAGGAGGAAUGUCCCUUGGCUGUGCCAGGUGAGGAGAUGCAGUGAGUGUCAAGGCCAGGGAGAGCAAAGGCCUUGCCAUGCUGUGGCUGUGGUUGGUUUCCCCCGAGUGCUGAGCAGGAGCCUUUGAUGGACAAGCUGUGCUGGUUUUUCCCUGGCAGAAAGCAGCCAGAGCAGCCGUGGGUCCACGCGAGGCGCGUGUGAAGUGUGGGAAGGUGGCGGAGGGAACGGAGCAGUUGUGCAGAAGUGGUUCUGCUCCCCGAGCCCUGAGGCGCAGUCCUGGGAAUGCCACAUUCCAGGGAACAUCUGCAGCCUGCUCUGAGCUCUGAGCUGAUCCCCUGCUGAUGUUCAACUCUUUCUAUUGUGGUUUUUUGUCUCCCC